AUUGAACGCUGGCGGCAGGCCUAACACAUGCAAGUCGAGCGGAUGAAGGGAGCUUGCUCCUGGAUUCAGCGGCGGACGGGUGAGUAAUGCCUAGGAAUCUGCCUGGUAGUGGGGGAUAACGUCCGGAAACGGGCGCUAAUACUGCAUACGUCCUGAGGAAGAAAGUGGGGGAUCUUCGGACCUCACGCUAUCAGAUGAGCCUAGGUCGGAUUAGCUAGUUGGUGGGGUAAAGGCCUACCAAGGCGACGAUCCGUAACUGGUCUGAGAGGAUGAUCAGUCACACUGGAACUGAGACACGGUCCAGACUCCUACGGGAGGCAGCAGUGGGGAAUAUUGGACAAUGGGCGAAAGCCUGAUCCAGCCAUGCCGCGUGUGUGAAGAAGGUCUUCGGAUUGUAAAGCACUUUAAGUUGGGAGGAAGGGCAGUAAGUUAAUACCUUGCUGUUUUGACGUUACCAACAGAAUAAGCACCGGCUAACUUCGUG
rnacentral:rRNA from 1 species